GAUUAUGGCUCAGGAUGAACGCUAGCUACAGGCUUAACACAUGCAAGUCGAGGGGCAGCAUGGAAGUAGCUUGCUACUUCCGAUGGCGACCGGCGAAUGGGUGAGUAACGCGUAUCCAACCUGGCCUAUGCUCUGGGAUAGCCCUUAGAAAUGAGGAUUAAUACGAGAUAGUCUCCUUUUGAUCGCCUGAGAUUAGGAGUAAAGACUUGUCGGCAUAGGAUGGGGGAUGCGUUCCAUUAGAUAGUUGGCGGGGUAACGGCCCACCAAGUCGAUGAUGGAUAGGGGUUCUGAGAGGAAGGUCCCCCACACUGGUACUGAGACACGGACCAGACUCCUACGGGAGGCAGCAGUGAGGAAUAUUGGUCAAUGGGCGAGAGCCUGAACCAGCCAAGUAAGCGUGAAGGAAGACGGCCCUACGGGUUGUAAACUUCUUUUGUCGGGGAAUAACAAGCGCCACGUGUGGCGCCCUGCAUGUACCCGGUGAAUAAGGACCGGCUAAUUCCGUGCCAGCAGCUGC
rnacentral:rRNA from 1 species